UACGGAGGGUGCGAGCGUUGUCCGGAAUCAUUGGGCGUAAAGCGCGCGUAGGCGGCCCGGUAAGUCCGCUGUGAAAGUCAAAGGCUCAACCUUUGAAUGUCAGCGGAUACUGCCGGGCUAGAGUCCGGAAGAGGCGAGUGGAACUCCUGGUGUAGCGGUGGAAUGCGCAGAUAUCAGGAAGAACACCAACGGCGAAGGCAGCUCGCUGGGACGGAACUGACGCUGAGGCGCGAAAGCGUGGGGAGCGAACAGG
rnacentral:rRNA from 1 species